GACGGGGCCCGCACAAGCGGUGGAGUAUGUGGUUUAAUUCGACGCAACGCGCAGAACCUUUACCUGGUCUUGACAUCCCGAGAAUUUUCUGGAAACAGAGAAGUGCCUCGCAAGAGGAAUUCGGAGACAGGUGCUGCAUGGCUGUCGUCAGCUCGUGUCGUGAGAUGUUGGGUUAAGUCCCGCAACGAGCGCAACCCUUGUCUUUAGUUGCCAUCAUUAAGUUGGGCACUCUAAAGAGACUGCCGGUGUCAAACCGGAGGAAGUGGGGAUGACGUCAAGUCCUCAUGGCCUUUAUGACCAGGGCUACACACGUACUACAAUGGCAGGUACAAAGGGCAGCCACUUAGCGAUAAGGCGCGAAUCCCGUAAAACCUGUCUCAGUCCGGAUUGGAGUCUGCAACUCGACUCCAUGAAGUUGGAAUCGCUAGUAAUCGCAGAUCAGCACGCUGCGGUGAAUACGUUCCCGGGCCUU
rnacentral:rRNA from 1 species